rnacentral:rRNA from 1 species
GACGAACGCUGGCGGCGCGCUUAACACAUGCAAGUCGAACGGAAAGGCCUGCUUUCCCUUGUGGAUUGCGGGUACUCGAGUGGCGAACGGGCGAGUAACACGUGAGUGAUCUGCCCCCAACUUGGGUAUAAGCCUGGGAAACUGGGUCUAAUUCCCGAUAGGACUGCAGGGUGGUGCCUGUGGUGGAAAACGAUUUUCUAGUGGUUGGGGAUGAGCUCGCGGCCUAUCAGCUUGUUGGUGGGGUAAUGGCCUACCAAGGCGGCGACGGGUAGCCGGCCUGAGAGGGUGGACGGCCACAUUGGGACUGAGAUACGGCCCAGACUCCUACGGGAGGCAGCAGUGGGGAAUAUUGCACAAUGGGCGGAAGCCUGAUGCAGCGACGCCGCGUGGGGGAUGACGGCCUUCGGGUUGUAAACUCCUUUCGACCGCGAGGAAGCCACCUGGUUGGAAGGGUGGUGACGGUAGUGGUAGAAGAAGCACCGGCUAACUACGUG